UGCGAACAAGAAGCUAAAUCAGCCUUUUGAAGAAAAGCAUGAAAGAAAAUAAUUGAAAAAGUCCCAACAGAGAUAGAAUUUAGAUUGACUUUUUCAACUUUAUUCUCUUCAAUUUUUUGCUACCGGUGGGUCAACACGACAACGGGUAAUCGGAUUGCAGCCACGGUGAUAAGGGUUUGAUGGUGUCGAUAGAGUUCUCUUGGAUUGGAAUACACCAAGCAUGCGCCGUGGUUCGACAAAAGCCUCAUUGGACCCGCCUUUCACGAUCUCCUCCUGCGCUGCUUCCACGAAAUAAUAGUUGUUGAGCAGCAAAAGCCAAAUCACUGCAAGUCCUACCAUCCUCCAUUGCAUCUCCACUCGCGCCAUGUCUCUCAAGCACUCCUCGAUUUCCGUACUCUCU
rnacentral:lncRNA from 1 species